CGGCUAACUCCGUGCCAGCAGCCGCGGUAAUACGGAGGGUGCGAGCGUUAAUCGGAAUUACUGGGCGUAAAGCGCAUGCAGGUGGUUUGUUAAGUCAGAUGUGAAAGCCCGGGGCUCAACCUCGGAAUAGCAUUUGAAACUGGCAGACUAGAGUACUGUAGAGGGGGGUAGAAUUUCAGGUGUAGCGGUGAAAUGCGUAGAGAUCUGAAGGAAUACCGGUGGCGAAGGCGGCCCCCUGGACAGAUACUGACACUCAGAUGCGAAAGCGUGGGGAGCAAACAGGAUUAGAUACCCUGGUAGUCCACGCCGUAAACGAUGUCUACUUGGAGGUUGUGGCCUUGAGCCGUGGCUUUCGGAGCUAACGCGUUAAGUAGACCGCCUGGGGAGUACGGUCGCAAGAUUAAAACUCAAAUGAAUUGACGGGGGCCCGCACAAGCGGUGGAGCAUGUGGUUUAAUUCGAUGCAACGCGAAGAACCUUACCUACUCUUGACAUCCAGAGAACUUUCCAGAGAUGGAUUGGUGCCUUCGGGAACUCUGAGACAGGUGCUGCAUGGCUGUCGUCAGCUCGUGUUGUGAAAUGUUGGGUUAAGUCCCGCAACGAGCGCAACCCUUAUCCUUGUUUGCCAGCACUUCGGGUGGGAACUCCAGGGAGACUGCCGGUGAUAAACCGGAGGAAGGUGGGGACGACGUCAAGUCAUCAUGGCCCUUACGAGUAGGGCUACACACGUGCUACAAUGGCGCAUACAGAGGGCGGCCAACUUGCGAGAGUGAGCGAAUCCCAAAAAGUGCGUCGUAGUCCGGAUCGGAGUCUGCAACUCGACUCCGUGAAGUCGGAAUCGCUAGUAAUCGUGGAUCAGAAUGCCACGGUGAAUACGUUCCCGGGCCUUGUACACACCGCCCGUCACACCAUGGGAGUGGGCUGCAAAAGAAGUAGGUAGUUUAACCUU
rnacentral:rRNA from 1 species